rnacentral:snRNA from 1 species
AUGCUUGCUCUGGCAGCACAUAAACUAAAACUGGAACAAUAGAGAGAUUAUCAUGCCUCUGUCCAAAAGUGAUAGGCAAAUUUGUAAAUCAUUUCAUACGUCU